UAAACAUAAAAUAAACUAACUUUUUAACUUUCCGUGCCGUAGGCUCCACAGGAAGGCCCGCAAUGGAAAACCUGCGGUAGACGCAGAUUGCAAUCUCGAUGAUAGUUCCAGUGGCACAAAACAAGAAGUCGUCUUUUGACACGCCGCCUAAAUCCUCCAACUGGCGAGCAGGAAGACGUAGGCACUCAGGGGGCUUCCGCCCAGAUCCUCCAUCCGCACACUCGUGUUUGCUCUCAGCUGUCAUACUCCUCGAGAACACUUGCGGAAAGGACCUCGGCUCAGCUCGACACGCAUUGUGACGACCUGAUGUUCAGGCUCUUCAGGAGAUUUUGAUUUCCUGUAGAAGUACUGUGGGAAAUGAAUGGCCAUCCAUCCAAAUCUUACAUUUUUGAGCGAUGGUUCCCCGCGGCUGCUUCCAUUCAGGCCGACUUGGUCGGCGGCCAGCCGAGCGGCGGGAUGGCAACGAGAUCGGUAUGCGCUUCCUUUGCGGUGCCACCUGUGUGUCUUUUACCAAAGGGAUUUGUACCUCCUCAAUCACUGACACAGGGCGGAUUAUGUGUACUUAGGUCAAAAAGCCAAAGGCAAGCCGCGUCUUGUGCGUGCCAGCAGUCAGUCAGCCACUCCGACAGGCGAGCGUAUCAUAUGAGACAAUUUUCCAUCUGUACUCUUCUGUUUAAUAAAACGCUUGUGUGGCUUCGUUAA